AACUAAUCAAAAAAUGCUUCUGGAAAAGAGAACGUAAAAAAUGCGAAGAUAUGUUUAAGAAAAUGAAGACCACACAACAGGCACAACAAUACCUAAUAGGGAUUGGGUAUUGUUGUGCCUUCAACUACUUCGGGUUAAGGAAUAUGUCCCGUAGAAAGUAUUGUAAGUAAGUAAUUUGGUUUUUAGGUUAUUGUUUCUUUUUUUAGGACAGCAUUUAGCUAUCCGAGUAAGACGUCAUCUUGUGGUUUUCAAAGUGGCUUGGAAGUGCUCAUUGAUAAUGAUCCAAAUGAUUAUUUUGCCACAUAUAUUCCUUCAAUUGGAUAGAGGGUCUUAAUUCACUAUCCUUAUGACAUCCCAGACUAGUCAGUGCGUAAUAAAUAUUUUAUUGGAAAUAAACACGAAUAACUUCUUAGGACUAAAUCCGAAAAUCAUUACUGCUACUGAUAACAUAAAAGCGGCAUGUCCGCUAUUGACCGGAAGUGCCUUAUUCCUAAAGAGCGCAUUUUUUGAAAUGUUUGAAAUUUACUCAUUAUUAAAAAAAAAAAAAAUUGAAUUACACCAUAAAUAAAUAAAUUAUUGGUGUAAUUACAAAAUUACACCAUAGACAGCUCACGUUAGAAACAUAGAAGUGCUAAGAAAAAUGAAAAAAGAUCUUGAGGAGUGAAAUAAGUCAUAUAUACAUUAAAAAGAGAAAACUUAAAUACUUGGGGCAUAUUAUGAGAAAUAAAGAUCGAAACUCCCUACUGCAAACCCAAAUACAAGAAAAGGUAUUGGGUAAAAGAGGGCUCGGAAGAUGAAGAACAUCAUAGUUACGGAACUUAAAGACUUAGUUUGGGAAAGGUUCAGUAGAACUGUUUUACACUGUUACAAAAAAAAGUUAUAAUUGCUAACAUGAUUGCCAACAUCCGAAACGGAGACAUACCUGAAGAAGAAGAAUUUAAUAUCAACAAAAAUAACUUGAUGAAUGUGAUAAGGUAUAUUAAAAGGAAUGUAUAACAAAUGCAGAUAAUUUAUCUUGAAAAUAAUUUUUUUUGUUUAAAAAUAAAA